CUUUAGCAGUUUUUGUAGAAGAUGAUAUUUUGUUUAAAGGCGUUCUGUUUUCUAUCGAUGGGAAGCAAAAAAUCGAAAUCGAAAAAACCGUUCCUAU
rnacentral:sRNA from 1 species